rnacentral:rRNA from 1 species
CCUACGGGAGGCAGCAGUCGAGAAUCAUUCACAAUGGGGGAAACCCUGAUGGUGCGACGCCGCGUGAAUGACGAAGGCCUUCGGGUCGUAAAGUUCUUUCGACAGGGAAGAAAAUGCCUAUAAGUAACUGUGUAUGUAUUGACGGUACCUGUAUAAGCAGCCCCGGCUAACUCCGUGCCAGCAGCCGCGGUAAUACGGAGGGGGCGAGCGUUGUUCGGAGGGACUGGGCGUAAAGAGCACGUAGGCGGUGUUGUAAGUCAUUAGUCAAAGACUAGAGCUCAACUUUAGUAAGGCUAGUGAUACUAUAAUACUAGAGUAUCAGAGAGGAGUGCAGAAUUCCUGGUGUAGCGGUGAAAUGCGUAGAGAUCAGGAGGAAUACCGUUAGCGAAGGCGGCAAUCUGGCUGGAAACUGACGCUGAGGUGCGAAAGCGUGGGUAGCAAACAGGAUUAGAUACCCUGGUAGUC